rnacentral:rRNA from 1 species
CGCUAGCGACAGGCCUAACACAUGCGAAGUCGGAGGGGCGAGCGAGCCGUAGCAAUACGGUGUCGGCGGACCGGCGAAUGGGUGAGUAACGCGUAUGCAACCUUUCCGCAAAACGGGGAUAGCCUUCCGAAAGGAAGAUUAAUACCUGAUGGCCUUGCCGGGCCGCAUGGUAUGGCAAGUAAAAAUUUAAUUUGAUUGCGGGUGGGCAUGCGUCCCAUUAGGCAGUUGGCGGGGUAACGGCCCACCAAACCGACGAUGGGUAGGGGUUCUGAGAGGAAAAUCCCCCACAUUGGAACUGAGACACGGUCCAAACUCCUACGGGAGGCAGCAGUGAGGAAUAUUGGUCAAUGGGCGGAAGCCUGAAACCCAGCCAAGUCGCGUGCGGGACGAAGGCCCUACGGGUCGUAAACCGCUUUUGUACGGGAAUAAAGUCAGGGACGCGUCCCUGUUUGUAGGUACCGUAAGAAUAAGGAUCGGCUAACUCCGUGCCAGCCGCCGC